GAGGAAAACACGCGCGCGCACACACGGUGAUAUCUUGCGGGUGAUGAAUAUGAUAAUUGGACAAGAGACGCUGGACGCAAAGGAUGUGAAAAUGGGAGAGCCACGUAAUGGAAGGUUCCCAGAUUUCAGAGCUGUCACUUGGAGGAGGGCCACCCAGUGAAGAGUGACCAUAUGGAUUUGAUCCCUAUCCUUCAGAGGUGCUCAGCCCAAGGGAACACGGGUAGUAGAUUAAGCACUGACCAGAAACAAGGUAAAGUCAUGUCCACAGCAUGGACUCUGAAGCUGGACUCCCUGGAUCCAAAUCCUUGCUCUGUCAUCUAUUAGCCUUGUGACUUGGAAUAAGUUUCUCAGCCUUUCUGUGCCUUCAUGUCUUCAUCUGGAGAAUGAAGCUCACAGAUUCUAGUCUACGUCAUAAACAGGGGCAACCUAAAAGAGGGUUUGAUGGAGGACAGAAAGCAGGCUGAUCCUGGGCCCUUGGGUGCUGGAGGAGGAGGCCCCCUGAAGGGAGCAGGAGAAGAAAGGACAGCAGAGGAGUGCUGAAAUUCACCUUGCCGACUGCCCCAGGCCAGCUGUUCUUGGCUCUAGGAGAUUCAAAGUCUAAGAAAGAUCCCUUUCCCCUGAUCCGCCAAAGUUUUCAUUUCCUAGAGAAAUAGCUUCUCUCUCUGCGUGUUUCCUUCCACUCUCAGCAAGACCUGAACAAGCGCAUGAAGGUGAUAAACCUGCUACUUCACUGGGGCUGUUUAUUUCCAGUCGACAAAUAUUGUGCCAAUGUUCACUUCAAUUAGGGGACACAUUUGACAAUCUGACUACUCCAUCUGAUGCCUCAAGGGCAAAUUUCAGCUCUUUCAGGAAGGGAUGGGCCAAUAACGGAUUCAUAUGAAUAAAAUAUACAGAGAAGGAACAUUCGCAGCAGUUUGGGGAAACCACCUUCUCCAGCAAGGAGAGCAAAAUAUCUACAUGAAAAUAAAAUUCACAUAAAUAAAGCAUGGGACUUAAACUGUUGGGAUGCUGGGAAUUCAGAGUGAAGGCUCCUGUGCCUGCUUGCCCUUCACCUGCCUGGAUUUGGGAACUAAGAAGUGCAAAUCAGCACUAAGGAGACUAAGACAUUUGUAAUUCUAUGGAAGAAAAUCAUUGUGGCAGACUUCAACUCGCUAAGAAUCUUACUCAUUUAUUCCAGUUUUAAGAAUCAUCCUAGCCACCAGAAAUUUUUUGUGGUGUUUAAUUUUAAUCCUCUGUUUAAUUCCCUUUCUUCUUUAUUAACUUGAAGAUAAUCAGAAAAGCUGCUCAGCAUCCCCUUUUAUACAGCUCUCCACAUCCUGGAAGGCAGAGUCAAGGACCAGGUCCCAUGAAUAGAGCUCUUCCUGCUCGGAAUUGACCUUGGGUCCAUGUUACCCUUUUCCUGGCAGCAGCAGACUAGAGGACGAGUUAGGUCUUCUGCAGCACCUGCCUUGGGCAAGUGCCAUCAGCUCGCUGACUCCUGUAUUCCCAUCAGGGAAAGGGAAAAGUCAGUUCCUUCCUCAUCUUGGAAGGGUUUCCAGGGAAUCAAGUCAGGUGAUAAGAGUGGAUGGAAGUGAAAGUUUGAUAGAAAUGAAGGGACUCUCGUUGUUUGGUUCCUGUUUUGGGGGCUACCCUGGUCAGUACAAAGAACUCCCAGAGGCAGCUUAGUCACUGAGAUCGGAAUAAAAAGCAAAAAUUACCUUUAAGGCCAGGUGCAGUGGCCCACGCCUAUAAUCCCAGCACUUUGGGAGGCCAAGACAGGUGGAUCGCCUGAGGUCAGGAGUUCAAGAUCAGCCUGGCCAACAUGGUGAAACCCUGUCUCUACUAAAAAUACAAAAAUUAGCCAGGCAUGGUGGCGGGUGGCUGUAAUCCCAGCUACUUGGGAGGCUAAGGCAGGAGAAUUGCUUGAACCCGGGAGGCAUAGGUUGUAGUGAGCUGAGAUUGUGCCACUGCACUCCAGCCUGGGCGACAGGGGGAGACUCCAUCUCAAAAAAAAAAAAAAAAAAAAAAAAA
rnacentral:lncRNA from 1 species